CCUGAACGCUGGCGGCGUGGCUAAGACAUGCAAGUCGCACGGGCCUAGCAAUAGGUCAGUGGCGCACGGGUGAGUAAUGUAUCGCUAAUGUACCCCUGAGCCUGGGAUAGCUGUCCGAAAGGGCAGGUAAUACCAGAUGAAAUAACCGGAUCGCAUGAUUUGGUUCUCAAAGGAGUAAUCCACUCUAGGAGCAGGCGAUAUCGUAUCAGCUUGNGGUGAGGUAACGGCUCACCAAGGCGACGACGCGUAGCUGGUCUGAGAGGACGGCCAGCCACAUCGGGACUGAGACACUGCCCGGACUCCUACGGGGGCUGCAGUAACGAAUCUUCCCCAAUGCACGCAAGUGUGAGGGAGCGACGCCGCGUGUGGGACGAAGUCC
rnacentral:rRNA from 1 species